AUUGAACGCUGGCGGCAGGCCUAACACAUGCAAGUCGAACGGUAACAGGAAGCAGCUUGCUGCUUUGCUGGCGAGUGGCGGACGGGUGAGUAAUGUCUGGGAAACUGCCCGAUGGAGGGGGAUAACUACUGGAAACGGUAGCUAAUACCGCAUAACGUCGCAAGACCAAAGAGGGGGACCUUAGGGCCUCUUGCCAUCGGAUGUGCCCAGAUGGGAUUAGCUAGUAGGUGGGGUAACGGCUCACCUAGGCGACGAUCCCUAGCUGGUCUGUGAGGAUGACGAGGCACACUGGAAGUGAGACACGGUCCAGGCUCCGACGGGAGGCACAAGUGGGGAAUAGUGGACAAUGGGCGCAAGAUUGAUGCAUGGGUGCAGCGUGUAUGCAGAAGGGCUUCGGGUUGUAUAGUACUUUUAGCGGGGAGGAAGGGAGUAAAGAUAAAAGCUGCGUUCUUUGACGUUACCCAGAGAAGAAGCACCGGCUAACUACGUG
rnacentral:rRNA from 1 species